CCGACUCCCUUGCUAAGUUGCCUAAGCAGCUAGCGAGUGCGAAACAACGAUUUAACUUAAUUUUGGUUCAUAUUGCGAAUGUUUUGCGCAUUUAACAGCCAGAAUGAGAGCUAUGAAUUUCUCCGCUAGUCGGACGUGCCGCCGAACUGCCGUAAAGUUCUUGUUGGCUCACUCCUUCUAUGGCGAUGGCGAGAACGACGGCAACCGCGACAGCUCCGCGCGCUACGAAGAAACGCCGCAAUCGACGUUACUGUUGCGUUGUAAAUUGCCAUGAACGUGAAGGACUGAAUAACAACGUUCAGUUUUACCGAUUUCCAUCGCGGUCGUAUGAAGGAGAAAGGAGAGAGCGCUGGAUACGGGCCGUUCGCGUGUUGGCCCUGACGGGGGACUAUGGCAACCAAGCGAAAACUGAGGAAUCUGCAGCCGCCUCUUCGUUGGCAACAGAAUAAACAAAGUUGUGAACCAUC